CCCCUAGAUGUUCUGGGCCGCACGCGCGCUACACUGAACAGUUCAACAAGUCUUAACCUUGGCCGAUAGGUCUGGGUAAUCUUUGAACGCUGUUCGUGAUUGGGAUAGACCUUUGCAAUUAUGGGUCUUCAACGAGGAAUUCCUAGUAAACGCAAGUCAUCAGCUUGCAUUGAUUACGUCCCUGCCCUUUGUACACACCGCCCGUCGCACCUACCGAUUGAAUAAUCCGGUGAAAUCUCGGGACGGCGGCUUGGUCGCUUGCGUCCGACUGCUGAAACUUGAUUAAACCAUAUCAUUUAGAGGAAGGUGAANUCGUAACA
rnacentral:rRNA from 1 species